rnacentral:rRNA from 1 species
UACAGAGGGUGCGAGCGUUAAUCGGAAUUACUGGGCGUAAAGGGCGUGUAGGCGGCCAACUAAGUCCGACGUGAAAUCCCCAGGCUUAACCUGGGAACUGCGUCGGAUACUGGAUGGCUUGAAUCCGGGAGAGGGAUGCAGAAUUCCAGGUGUAGCGGUGAAAUGCGUAGAUAUCUGGAGGAAUACCGGUGGCGAAGGCGGCAUCCUGGACCGGCAUUGACG